GACGAACGCUGGCGGCGUGCUUAACACAUGCAAGUCGAACGGAAAGGCCCUGCUUUUGUGGGGUGCUCGAGUGGCGAACGGGUGAGUAACACGUGAGUAACCUGCCCUUGACUUUGGGAUAACUUCAGGAAACUGGGGCUAAUACCGGAUAGGAGCUCCUGCUGCAUGGUGGGGGUUGGAAAGUUUCGGCGGUUGGGGAUGGACUCGCGGCUUAUCAGCUUGUUGGUGGGGUAGUGGCUUACCAAGGCUUUGACGGGUAGCCGGCCUGAGAGGGUGACCGGCGACAUUGGGACUGAGGUACGGCCCAGGCUCCUACGGGAGGCAGCAGUGGGGAGUAUUGCACAAUGGGCGGGAGCCUGAUGCAGCGGCGCCGGGUGCGGGAUGACGGCCUUCGGGUUAUGAACCGCUUUCGCCUGUGACGAAGCGUGAGUGACGGUAAUGGGUAAAGAAGCACCGGCUAACUACGUG
rnacentral:rRNA from 1 species